GCAAGCUCCGUGAGUGCCAAUCAGUGAAUUAUGGGCUGGGUAGCCACCAGUGCAUCAUGAAGAUUGACUUCAUUUUUGCCCUCUUGAGGAUCACGUGCUUUAUGAAUUCACUCUCUCCUCCAUCUCACUGCCGCUUCUGUCAAUAUUGUCAUCACUUCUAGGAAACCAGAAUUUGAGGCUUGGGCUUCAGCUCCACCUUUCCUUUCUCCUUGGAACAACCAGUGUCACCUUUGUGUUCUACCAAAACAAACCACUGUGGGUUAUUUUGCCCUUCACAAAAGUACACCGGCUGGAGAAGUUGCUUCAUAUACCGUGUACUUCUGACAUAAAAGCUUCUGGAUCCUAAAGGAUAAUUGAGAUCUUUCCUUGGGGAGGAGACAUUUCCUCUUGGUCACGUGCUCUUGCUAUCUCACUUUUCACUUACUCUCCCUCUCUCUGUCACUCUGUGUGCUCUUCUCCUCUUCCUGUUGGAUUUAACAUUUGGUGUUGACUGCUGGGGUUCUCAUCCCGGUAGUGUGGCUUUUGUUUUUCUCCUAGGGAAGAGAAGAUUCUUGAAACAAUGGGCUUCACUCUGCACUCCAUUUACUUCACCUUGAAGGUGAGUUUUCUGCUGGGCUCCCUGCUGGGUCUCUGUUUGGGUCUGGAGUUCAUGGGCAUCCCCAACCAGUGGGCCCGCUACCUCCGCUGGGAUGCCAGCACUAGGAGCGAACUCAGCUUCCAGUUCAAGACCAACGUCUCUGCUGGGCUGCUCCUCUACUUUGAUGAUGGUGGUGUCUGUGACUUCCUCUGUCUGUCCCUUGUUGAUGGGCGCAUCCAGCUCCAGUUCAGUGUGGACUGUGCGGAGACUACAGUUAUCACAGACAAGCAGGUCAACGACAGCAACUGGCACUUCCUGAUGGUCAGCCGCAAUCACCUUCGGACAGUGCUAGUGCUGGAUGGUGAAGCCAAGCCGGGUGAGGUGCGUCCACAACGCCAGUAUAUGAAUAUCGUCAGUGACCUUUUUGUUGGUGGAGUCCCACUGGACAUCCGUCCUGCUGCCUUGACCCUUGAUGGUGUUCUGAGUGAGCCUCCGUUUCAAGGAUUUAUCCUGGAUCUGAAAUACGGCAACUCUGAGCCACAGCUCCUGGGCAGUCAAGGGGUCCGACUGGAAAUGGAAGGGCUCUGCGCAGAAAACCCCUGUGAAAAUGGUGGCACUUGCUUCCUUCUUGAUGGCGAGCCACACUGUGACUGCUCAGCCACUGGAUAUGUUGGCAAGCUGUGUUCUGAAGAUGUCAAUCAUAUUCCAGGCCUCUCACACCUGAUGAUGGGUGAACAAGGUAGAAGCAAAGCGCGAGAUGAGAACAUGGCCACUUUCCGUGGUUCCGAAUACCUUUGCUAUGACCUGUCGCAAAACCCCAUCCAGAGCAGCAGCGAUGAGAUCACUCUCUCCUUCAAGACAUGGCAACGCAACGGGCUCAUUCUGCACACCGGCAAGUCGGCGGAUUACGUCAACCUGGCCCUGAAAGACGGUGCGGUCUCACUGGUCAUUAACCUGGGGUCUGGGGCCUUCGAGGCCAUUGUGGAGCCAGUCAAUGGCAAGUUCAAUGACAACGCGUGGCACGACGUUAAGGUGACACGCAACCUGCGGCAGGUGACAAUCUCUGUGGAUGGCAUCCUUACCACCACGGGCUACACACAAGAGGACUACACCAUGCUGGGCUCGGAUGACUUCUUUUACGUGGGAGGGAGCCCCAGUACUGCUGAUUUACCUGGCUCUCCAGUAAGCAACAACUUCAUGGGCUGCCUCAAAGAGGUUGUUUAUAAGAAUAACGACAUUCGUCUGGAGCUGUCUCGCUUGGCAAGGAUUGGUGAUACGAAGAUGAAGAUCUAUGGGGAAGUGAAAUUUGUAUGUGAGAAUGUGGCUACACUGGAUCCCAUCAGCUUUGAGACACCUGAGGCCUAUAUUAGUCUGCCUAAAUGGAAUACCAAAAGGAUGGGCUCCAUCUCGUUUGAUUUCCGAACCACUGAACCCAAUGGACUGAUCCUUUUCACUCAUGGCAAGCCUCAGGAGAGGAAAGAUGCCAGGAGCCAGAAAAAUACAAAGGUAGACUUCUUUGCAGUUGAGCUUCUAGAUGGGAACCUCUACUUGCUGCUGGACAUGGGCUCUGGGACCAUUAAAGUCAAGGCCACCCAGAAGAAAGCCAAUGAUGGAGAGUGGUAUCAUGUGGAUAUUCAACGAGAUGGAAGAUCAGGUACUAUCUCAGUGAACAGCAGGCGCACCCCGUUCACCGCUAGCGGGGAGAGUGAGAUUCUCGAUCUGGAAGGCGACAUGUACCUCGGUGGGCUGCCGGAGAACCGGGCAGGUCUCAUCCUUCCCACAGAGCUCUGGACAGCCAUGCUCAACUACGGCUACGUCGGCUGUAUCCGAGACCUGUUCAUCGAUGGGCGAAGCAAGAACAUCCGGCAGCUGGCAGAGGCCCAGAACGCUGCCGGGGUCAAGUCCUCCUGCUCCCGCCUCAGCACCAAGCAGUGCGACAGCUACCCCUGCAAGAACAACGCGCUCUGCAAGGACGGCUGGAACCGCUUCAUCUGUGACUGCACGGGCACCGGCUACUGGGGUAGAACGUGCGAGCGAGAGGCCUCUAUCUUGAGCUAUGAUGGCAGCAUGUACAUGAAGAUCAUCAUGCCUAUGGUCAUGCAUACAGAAGCAGAAGACGUGUCCUUCCGUUUCAUGUCCCAGCGCGCUUAUGGGCUGUUGAUGGCAACCACUUCACGAGACUCUGCGGACACACUGCGCCUGGAGCUGGAUGGAGGCCGUGUCAAACUUAUGGUCAAUUUAGGCAAGGGACCUGAAACUCUUUAUGCUGGGCAGAAACUCAAUGACAACGAGUGGCACACUGUCCGGGUAGUCCGGCGAGGAAAGAGCCUCAAGCUGAUGGUGGAUGAUGAUGUUGCUGAGGGCACCAUGGUUGGUGAUCACACCCGCUUGGAGUUCCACAACAUCGAGACAGGGAUCAUGACAGAGAAACGGUACAUCUCUGUCAUCCCUUCCAGCUUCAUUGGCCACCUCCAGAGCCUCAUGUUCAAUGGGAUGCUCUACAUUGACCUGUGCAAGAAUGGUGACAUUGACUACUGUGAGCUGAAGGCACGCUUUGGUCUCCGUAACAUUAUAGCUGACCCUGUGACGUUCAAGACCAAGAGCAGCUACCUGAGUCUGGCCACCUUGCAGGCUUAUACAUCCAUGCACCUCUUCUUUCAGUUCAAGACCACCUCAGCUGAUGGUUUCAUCCUCUUUAACAGUGGUGACGGCAAUGACUUUAUUGCAGUUGAACUAGUUAAGGGGUACAUACACUAUGUGUUCGACCUUGGAAACGGACCUAAUGUUAUCAAAGGCAACAGUGAUCGUCCUCUUAAUGACAACCAAUGGCACAAUGUUGUCAUCACCAGAGAUAACAGUAACACACACAGCCUAAAGGUGGACACUAAGGUGGUCACUCAGGUUAUCAAUGGUGCCAAAAAUCUGGAUCUCAAAGGUGAUCUCUACAUUGCUGGCCUAGCUCAAGGCAUGUAUAGCAACCUCCCAAAGCUGGUGGCCUCACGUGAUGGAUUUCAGGGCUGCCUGGCAUCUGUGGACUUGAAUGGGCGCCUGCCUGAUCUAAUCAAUGAUGCUCUGCACCGCAGUGGGCAAAUUGAGCGUGGAUGCGAAGGACCGAGUACUACCUGCCAGGAAGAUUCUUGUGCGAAUCAGGGCAUCUGUAAUCAGCAAUGGGAAGGCUUCACCUGUGAUUGCUCCAUGACUUCAUAUUCUGGGAGCCAGUGUAAUGACCCUGGUGCCACAUAUAUAUUUGGGAAGAGUGGUGGUCUCAUCCUGUACACCUGGCCAGCGAAUGACAGACCAAGCACAAGAACAGACCGUCUCGCUGUGGGCUUCAGCACAACGGUGAAGGAUGGCAUUCUCGUUCGGAUUGACAGUGCCCCUGGGCUUGGUGACUUUCUACAGCUGCACAUAGAGCAAGGGAAGAUUGGUGUAGUCUUCAAUAUUGGCACAGUGGACAUCUCUAUUAAAGAGGAAAGCACACCUGUAAACGAUGGCAAAUACCAUGUGGUACGCUUUACCAGGAAUGGUGGCAAUGCCACACUUCAGGUUGACAGCUGGCCAGUGAAUGAACACUACCCAACAGGCAACACUGAUAGUGAACGGUUCCAAAUGGUAAAACAGAAAAUCCCCUUCAAAUAUAACCGGCCCGUAGAGGAGUGGCUGCAGGAAAAAGGACGACAGUUAACGAUCUUCAACACCCAGGCGCAAAUAGCCAUAGGAGGGAAGGACAGAGGGCGUCUCUUCCAAGGCCAGCUCUCCGGUCUCUAUUACAAUGGCUUGAAAGUGCUGAACAUGGCAGCGGAGAACAACCCCAACAUUAAAAUCAAUGGAAGUGUCCGACUUGUUGGGGAAGUCCCUUCCAUCCUGGGAACAACACCCACAACCUCUGUGCCACCAGAAAUGUCUACUACGGUCAUGGAAACCACAACUACAAUGGCCACCACUACAACCCGAAAAAAUCGUUCACCACCCAGCAUCCAGACAACAGAUGACAUCGUCUCAUCAGCUGAAUGUUCCAGUGACGAUGAAGAUUUCAUUGACUGUGAACCCAGUACAGGUAAGUCAGCCAGAAGCUCUAAUGCUGCUAGAUCACUCCGUACCGCCCUUACAUGGACAUGGCAACUGACUUACACAUUCACUCCCAUCAUCUUCAUCUCCUGUGUAGUACACUCAUAGAUUUUUACACCCCCACUCCAUCCACCCUAGGCAUCUUUUCUUCCCAUAAGUUCCCCUCCACCACCCCUUUCUUUAGCAUUGUUAAAAUUUUAUGUGCAGUCAUCCAUUCCUUAAAACACACACACACAAAAAUUAUAGAAAAAAAGAAAAUGUUUAAAAAAAUAUAUAUCAAAUUGACCAAAAAGGCAAAAAAGCAACAAACUUUGCUUUUCAAAAAACAUUAUAUAUGUAGAUAUGCAAACAAGCAAAAGUAAAUUCUAUAAAGUGUACAGGAUUUUUCAACUGUAAUAUGCUAACAACUUUACAUAAGAUAAAAAAAUACAACCAAAAAACAGCAGAAAAAAAAACAAGUUCAAAUUUGUUAAGGUGCAAGAUUUUUUUCUUUUCAUGUUAUGUGGUGUGGAUGUAUGUGUUGUUGCCUCCCUGUAUCGCCCUUUGUUGUAAAACAAUUAUAUUAAAAAGAAAUAAUAAACAUUUUGCUAAAAAAGUUUUUAAGAAACAACGAAAAAAAGCAAGUUACGAGAAUGUGGCAAUGCUACUUGUCCAAGAGCAUUCUUACACAACUUUCUUUUGUAAAUUUUUCCUUUCAUGCCAAAAAACAUGCGGGCAAUUUGUUGAUGAGGUGAAUUAGUUAUCCCUCUACUUGUAGAAGACCCUUUAGAUAUCCCUCCUAUUGCUACUCGUGCACCUUUCAUUACACUUCCCCCUACCUUUCGCCCCCUCCUCACCAUUAUUGAGACCACCAAAGAUUCCCUGUCCAUGACCUCUGAGGCGGGGUUACCUUGCUUGUCGGACCAAGGCAGCGAUGGUUGUGAUGAUGAUGGCUUGGUGAUAUCUGGGUAUGGCUCAGGGGAAACCUUUGACUCUAACCUACCCCCUACUGAUGAUGAAGAUUUUUACACCACCUUCUCCUUGGUAACAGAUAAGAGUCUUUCCACUUCAAUCUUCGAAGGUGGCUACAAAGCACACGCACCCAAGUGGGAAUCCAAGGACUUUAGACCUAACAAAGUCUCCGAAACUGGUAGGACUACUACCACGUCUUUGUCCCCUGAGCUGAUCCGCUCCACAGCUUCGUCCUCGACUGGGAUGGUGCCCAAAUUGCCAGCCGGCAAAAUGAAUAACCGUGAGCUCAAACCCCAGCCUGACAUAGUCUUGCUUCCGUUGCCCACUGCCUAUGAGCUAGACAGCACAAAGCUGAAGAGCCCGCUAAUCACUUCCCCCAUGUUCCGUAAUGUGCCCACAGCAAACCCCACGGAGCCAGGAAUCAGACGGGUUCCGGGGGCCUCAGAGGUGGUCCGCGAGUCGAGCAGCACAACGGGGAUGGUCGUCGGCAUUGUGGCUGCUGCCGCCCUCUGCAUCCUCAUCCUCCUGUACGCCAUGUACAAGUACAGGAACAGGGACGAGGGGUCCUAUCAGGUGGACGAGACGCGGAACUACAUCAGCAACUCAGCCCAGAGCAACGGCACGCUCGUGAAGGAGAAGCAGCAGAGCUCAAAGAGCGGCCACAAGAAACAGAAAAACAAGGACAAAGAGUAUUAUGUGUAAAAAAGAAUACUUAUUUAUAUAUAAAUAUAUAAAUACUUAAUGAGAUUUAACUGAAAUAUCAGACCCAUUGCAGCGAACGAGAUUGGGAGAUAUCGUUUGUGGGAAAAAGUAUUGGGAAAAAAAAAAAAAAAAUAAUUCAGCAGUGACUGUUAAUGUCUCAGUCAUCGCUUGGAGUCAGCAAACUCUGCCCUAAUGUAUUAUAAAGCACACUUAGCGUUCUGGAGAUGGCGCGCACAGCUCUGCCCUGUUAGUCAACUUGGACGUCUCCAAAUCUCCUCCUCCGCUGAACUUUCUGCAAAGGUAGAAGACUUCAUGGCUUACUUGUUUCAUAUCUCCAAGUGAGUCUUUAACAAUGUUCGUGAUCCCUGACUGUAUCGAUAAUUUUUCAGUUUCCUUAUUUAAAAAAAAAAAAAAAAAAAA